GCCCGGGUGGUGAAAUUGGUAGACACGCAAGACUUAAAAUCUUGUUUCCGUUAGGAAGUGCCGGUUCGACCCCGGCCCCGGGCACCA
rnacentral:tRNA from 2 species